rnacentral:rRNA from 1 species
AGCGAACGCUGGCGGCAGGCCUAACACAUGCAAGUCGAACGAACCUUUCGGGGUUAGUGGCGGACGGGUGAGUAACACGUGGGAACGUGCCUUUAGGUUCGGAAUAACUCAGGGAAACUUGUGCUAAUACCGAAUGUGCCCUUCGGGGGAAAGAUUUAUCGCCUUUAGAGCGGCCCGCGUCUGAUUAGCUAGUUGGUUGAGGUAAUGGCUCACCAAGGCGACGAUCAGUAGCUGGUCUGAGAGGAUGAUCAGCCACAUUGGGACUGGGACACGGCCCAAACUCCUAGGGGAGGCAGCAGUGGGGAAUCUUGCGCAAUGGGCGAAAGACUGACGCAGCCAUGCCGCGUGAAUGAUGAAGGUCUUAGGAUUGUAAAAUUCUUUCACCGGGGAAGAUAAUGACGGUAACCGGAGAAGAAGCCCCGGCUAACUUCGUG